AUUGAACGCUGGCGGCAGGCCUAACACAUGCAAGUCGAACGAGUGGCGGACGGGUGAGUAAUGUCUGGGAAACUGCCUGAUGGAGGGGGAUAACUACUGGAAACGGUAGCUAAUACCGCAUACCCUCGGAUGUGCCCAGUUGGGAUUGGCUAGUAGGUGGGGUAACGGCUCACCUAGGGGACGAUCCCUCGCUGGUCUGAGAGGAUGACCAGCCACACGGGAACUGAGCCAGGGCCCAGACUCCAAGGGGAGGAAGCAGGGGGGAAUAUUGCACAAUGGGGGCAAGCCUGAGGAAGCCAGGCCGGGUGUAUGAAGAAGGCUUUGGGGUUGUAAAGUACGUUCAGCGGGGAGGCGUUACCCGCAGAAGAAGCACCGGCUAACUCCGUGCCAGCAGCCGCGGUAAUAC
rnacentral:rRNA from 1 species